UUGAAGCCCAGAAGGGUGAAAAUGUUUCUUUAAGAAUAGAAGAUUCAGUGCUACGUAUUCUAACUUUUAUCUGCGCUCUUUACCAAAUUCCACUGUUGCUGUGACUCAGAAGCUUUAAAGUUGAAUGGGCCAGUGACCAUAAGCUAAUUCAAGCUCAAGAUCCAUGCUGUCUAAGGGGAAAGCUGGGCUAAUCUGUCUGCCUGAGCAUACGUACUUCCUUCUCAGGGCUGAGCUUCCUGAGUUCCACUGCUGAGAGGUAAAUGGGAUCUUCUGCUAACUGCAAGUUAACCUGAAGGAUGGCGGUAAGAUAAGAAGACCUGAGGCAUCUUUCCAUCUCAGAAUCAAUACUCUAGAAAGUUCUGUCAAGUCCAUGGACCAAAAAAAACUAUUUCUGUUAAGUGAGAAUCUGCUAUAUGCUCCUGGGGACUGACAGCAUUCCACUGGCUGGGGGAAUGUGUGGGCAGAUGGAGUUCAACUAACAUUGGCUAAAGUUCAAGCUAAGGAAAGUAACAUAAAAGAGGCUACUGAAGAAGGACCCACCAUUAAAGCCUUCGUUUGAAGUUUCAACAUGGUGCUCAGGAGACUUUCAUUUCUUGAAGAUUAUGUUAAUUCCUUCUGGUUAGUCACCAAGCUGGAAGGGCUUCUGCUUGGGUCUAGGAAUGGACUAUGUGACUUUCAUUCAAAGGCUGGCAAAGCUAGGUCCAGAGAGGCUCAUGGACAGAAGCUUGGCCACUGGCAAUAAAUCUGGGGGCUUC